UCUGUGUGUGUGUGUGUUUAAGCUAGUUUUCCAUUGAUUCUGAACAGGCACCUGCUCAAGGUGAGGUGUCUUUACAUGAAUGCUUGAUUCUUGUUCAAAUCUUAGUUUCUGUUCUCUAUUAUUAAACAGUGAGAUGCUCUAAGUUUCUGCUUAAUAGAAAUCAUAGACCUUUGUGUGUGUGUGUUUGAGCUAGUUUUCCAUUAAACAGUGAGAUGCGACCUUGAUAAGGGUUUAUAAAUCUAUUAUUAAACAGUGAGAAUGCUCUGUCCACGAGUUGUGUUAAGCUUUUCUCCAUUGAUUGUGAACAGGCACCUGCAGCUGAUGACGAUGAUGGUGACGAGACUGAGGAGGAAAAAAAGUUGCAGAGGGGAGUGAGGCUGCUAAGAAGGACACCAAGAAGCCCAAAGAGAAAAACUGGUUCCAGUUGGUUACGGUAUCAAGAAGCUCACGAUCAUCAACUAUACACCAAACUCGAAGGACAAAAGCUGAGAAGUAUUAUUUCUUCAACAGAUCAAUACAGAAGCUUUUCAAAAAAUUGUAUGAUUAACAGAUGUAACAUAUCAAAUAUAUAUUUGUUGAAAUGUUUAUUUUUGGCUUAUUAUGUAUCAAAUCUCAGUAUCUCAUCCAAACACGUUUCGAUGCA